rnacentral:rRNA from 1 species
UAGUCCACGCAGUAAACGAUGAAUACUUGAUGUAGGAGGUAUCGACCCCUUCUGUGUCGAAGUUAACGUAUUAAGUAUUCCACCUGGGGAGUACGACCGCAAGGUUGAAACUCAAAGGAAUUGACGGGGACCCGCACAAGUAGCGGAGCAUGUGGUUUAAUUCGAGGCAACGCGAAGAACCUUACCAGGGCUUGACAUAACAGACUAUCUUUCUAGAGAUAGAGAGGGCUCCUUCGGGAGGUCUGCUAC